ACGGAAGGCAGCAGUGAGGAAUAUUGGUCAAUGGACGGAAGUCUGAACCAGCCAAGUCGCGUGAAGGAUGAAGGUUCUAUGGAUUGUAAACUUCUUUUGUCUGAGGGUAAAGUGCGGUACGUGUACCGUUUUGCGAGUAUCAGACGAAUAAGCAUCGGCUAACUCCGUGCCAGCAGCCGCGGUAAUACGGAGGAUGCGAGCGUUAUCCGGAUUUAUUGGGUUUAAAGGGUGCGUAGGCGGAAUGUUAAGUCAGUGGUAAAAGCGUGUGGCUCAACCAUACCAAGCCAUUGAUACUGGCGUUCUUGAGUGUAAACGAGGUAGGCGGAAUAUGACAUGUAGCGGUGAAAUGCUUAGAUAUGUCAUAGAACCCCGAUUGCGAAGGCAGCUUACCAGCAUACAACUGACGCUGAGGCACGAAAGCGUGGGUAUCAAACAGGAUUAGAUACCCUGGUA
rnacentral:rRNA from 1 species